AGUAAAGAGGUUGAUUUAGCAUUUGUUUUCUUUUUUUAGUUUAACUUGUUUUUUACACCAAAAAAGAAAAAAAAAACUUUUUAAGUGAUAAUUCUAGGCGAUGAGAUGAGAAAGCAGGCUACCUGGACGGUGGCGUUUCAUAUCCGACCUUUCUACCGCAUUGAGAUAACAGUACCCGAACCCUCUAAUCUCCCAUUGGCGUUUUCACCCUUCUUCCUCCUUUAUUCCCCGUGCUAGGGUUUCUACUACCGUUACCUCGAUGGUGACCAAAGAUCAUGUCACCAUGAACGGGAACGGUAACAGUAACUGGUUCAGUAAGAUGGAAGAAGAGUUUUUCAAGAGGCACCACAAAUGUGACGUUACAAGAAAUCAGUACAACUCGUCGCUUGUUAAACUCAUUAAAGCUAUUGCUCAUCUCGUUUGGCCUGUAUUGAGGAGAUUCGAUCAACUGCAGAAGAACAAAGCAUCUGUCAGCAGGUGUGUUGUCUGCCGGCCACAACUAGCUCUGAAAGGUUAGAGUAUCUAGAUGAUGACGAGCAUAUUUUGAGCAUGAUAAUUGUUGGAGGGGAUCUUAGGUUGAAGCAUAAAGAAUACUUUUUCGUGAGCAAGCAACUUGAAGAUGUGUUGGUUUUCAGUUCUGUAUCCUGUAUCCUGUCUCCUUUUCUUUUAACAUUUGAAUUGAUCUAAAUGCUUUGACCUCCUUCAUUAGGUUGAAUUUUGAUUUUUGGACGUGUUGGGUUUUUUUUUUUUUAUGUGCUAUUUGGCUGUAAAUAUGUGUGCUAGUCGAAAUUUGAGGUUAAUAUCUUGAAAAGUUGAAGAAAAGCCUUUUGGUGCGAUGGAUAUAAAUGAAAUAUGGAUGCAUGAGGUGAAGCAAGUUAUUUAUAAUAAAGGUGGAAGAGGGAGGGAUGAAAGAAAUAUUUGUAUUGUUACAAAAAUCCAGUGGUGAAAUACAUUGCUUGAUGUAGGGGUUUUGGAGUCUUGUGCUUUAGAAACCAUUGAGAGGUAUGGCAUGUCUUUCAUGACCCACCUAAUUUUGAUUUAUCUGUAAAAAAAGAAAAAAAAGAGAAAAUUGGGAUUUAUCUUCCCAAGCUGAGAUUAGUUGGAGUGCAUUGCCCAUCAGUCAAGACAAAAGGGGAUUUAUGCCCCCCACAAACUGAGAAUGGGGGGAUCUGGCUUUUUAGUAUUUUGCAUGGAAAAUUUAUUUAUUAUUAGUAUAAUGGUACCAGAUUGGAUCACUGGUUCCGAAGUCUUUUAUAAUCUGAAUUCGCCAAUAAUUUUUUUAUUUCAUGGGAUCAAUAAACGCACUAGUAUAACAAAAAUCACAUGUUUAAUAAAUAUUAUUGUCACCAACGAUUAAUGUUAGCAAGAAGGACAAAAUGUGUAAACUAAAGGGCCAAGGUUUAAAUAAAAAUAAUAAAAACUUGCCUCGCCUACCCAACAUUAUUGAUUUUUGUUUGGUUAAUUACCACAA